UCAGUUAAUUCUAAAUAAUUGACUGAAUCCACUUAUUUAUAACAUUACAAUUAGGUUCUUCACUUAUUUCACUAAAUAUUAACCAUGAUUAAUUGCAAUAUUAGGUCUUAUUUCACUAAAUAUUAACCAUGAUUAAUUACAAUAUUAGGUUCUUCACUCACUACAAAAAUAAAACAUUUCACUCACUACAAAAAUAAAGGUGAGGUUUGUUUAUAGGGGUUCUAAAAACCUCUUCUAACAGUCAAGUUUUCUAACUAUCAAAACCGCAGUCAAGUUAUAAGAGUUUCAGGAGUUUCUUUAUCAAACUAUCGAAACUGUACAAAAUAUUUGUACAAAAUAUACUUUUCAAGCCAAAGCCGCGCUUCCAGAGCUUUGUUUUCUACUUAUCGCGUCUCAACUUCUUCAAGCAUUAGGAGUUCUCCGAUGACGGUUUUGAAGAGCUUAUGAUUUGCACGUGUCGCCAUUUCCAUCUUCCCAAACUUCGUGUCUUUCCGUUUUUAUUUUCACAGUCUUUUCGUCUCGGCUUUUCCAUCUCACAAUCCUUCGUCACUUUACAAUUCCUAAUUCCCUUAUCUUUUCCUGUUUCAAAUCCUUAAUUCCAAAAAUCUAGAGCUCGUAGAUCUUGUGAUUGACGUUUUUGAAGAGUUUGGGAGUGAGUCGCACAAGGUGGAAUUAGUCGUUGACUGGAACCACCUCCUUCUUUACGGCCUCCUCGACGGUGUUUUAAGAUUUAUCUGAACUUGUGAAUGCUGAAGGCUAUAGUCAAUCGAUACACUCAGUAGCAGAGUUUACACUAAAAUCUUUGCAUUCUUGGAAGGUUUGCAGAUUAGAAUGGAAUAGACAUCAUAAGGAGGUAUUAAGUGGUCAUGGAUUCAGCACAAGUGCACAUCACAAUCAACUUUGUUUGUGGAGAUAUCCAUCUAUGACUAAAGUGCGUGCCUUGGAACGUCACACUUCUAGAGUACUUGAUAUAUGUCAGAGUCCAGAUGGUUUAAUAGUUGUGUCAACUGGAGUAGAUGAAACUCUUCGCUUUUGGAAUGUAUUUGGGCCACCUGUAAGUAAUAACUAUGAGACAGAUCUGGAUAACCUUUUGUCUCUCAAGGUUUCUCCAAUAAGGUGAUGGAAACAGAGACAAUUUUCUUCAUUCAUGGUUAUGUUUUGUGUAAAUAGUAACGUUGACAUUGGUCUUAAUACAUUAGCAUUUUUUUAAUUUAACGUUAC